rnacentral:rRNA from 1 species
AUUGAACGCUGGCGGCAUGCUUUACACAUGCAAGUCGAACGGCAGGGCGGGCUUCUGCCUGGCGGCGAGUUGCGAACGGGUGAGUAAGUCAUCGGAAGUGCCCCGUAGUUUGGGAUAGCCCUGCGAAAGCCGGAUUAAUACCGCAUACGACCUGAGGUUGGAAGCGUGGGGUCGAAAGGCCUCGCACUAUUGGAGCGUCCGAUGUCGGAUUAGCUAGUUUGUGUGGUAAAGGCUUACCAAGGCGACGAUCCGUAGCUGGUCUGAGAGGACGACCAGCCACACUGGGACUGAGACACGGCCCAGACUCCUACGGGAGGCAGCAGUGGGGAAUUUUGGACCAUGGGGGCAACCCUGAUCCAGCCAUGCCGCGUGCGGGAAGAAGGCCUUCGGGUUGUAAAACGCUUUUGUUCGGGAAGAAAUCCUCUGGGCUAAUACCCCGGGGGGAUGACGGUACCGGAAGAAUAAGCACCGGCUAACUACGUG